GACGAACGCUGGCGGCGUGCUUAACACAUGCAAGUCGAACGGAAAGGCCCUGCUUUUGUGGGGUGCUCGAGUGGCGAACGGGUGAGUAACACGUGAGUAACCUGCCCUUGACUUUGGGAUAACUUCAGGAAACUGGGGCUAAUACCGGAUAGGAGCUCCUGCUGCAUGGUGGGGGUUGGAAAGUUUCGGCGGUUGGGGAUGGACUCGCGGCCUAUCAGCUUGUUGGUGGGGUAGUGGCUUACCAAGGCUUUGACGGGUAGCCGGCCUGAGAGGGUGACCGGCCCAUGUGGAGUGGGGGACAGGCCCGACCUCAGCGGGGGGGAAGAAGGGGGGGAAUAAGCACAGGGGGGGGGGGUCAGGCGCGGAACCCCAGGGGGGGGAGAGGCGGCGGUGGGGUGAUAACCCGAUUUCGCCAGUAACAGACCAGGAGGGGCGGAAAGGGGAAAAAAACCACCGGCUAACUAGUG
rnacentral:rRNA from 1 species